AAUCCCCUGUUAAGUUUGUUACGGUUAUAAAUUCUUUGAACCGAUAAUCAUCUAACCUGGAGAUUUAUUCUAAUGAAGUUUGUUGUGCCGCGUCCCAUGGGAUGCGCCUGAUGACUUCGGUAAGUCGCCACUCUUAUAGAGCCUGGGUUCAAGAUGCUAACCGGACGGCUUAGCGGGGGGAUU
rnacentral:other from 4 species